AUCAUUGUGGGGGUCGGCC
rnacentral:miRNA from 1 species